rnacentral:rRNA from 1 species
GACGAACGCUGGCGGCGUGCUUAACACAUGCAAGUCGAACGGAAAGGCCCUGCUUUUGUGGGGUGCUCGAGUGGCGAACGGGUGAGUAACACGUGAGUAACCUGCCCUUGACUUUGGGAUAACUUCAGGAAACUGGGGCUAAUACCGGAUAGGAGCUCCUGCUGCAUGGUGGGGGUUGGAAAGUUUCGGCGGUUGGGGAUGGACUCGCGGCUUAUCAGCUUGUUGGUGGGGUAGUGGCUUACCAAGGCUUUGACGGGUAGCCGGCCUGAGAAGGUGACCGGCCACAUUAGGACUAAGAUACGGCCCAGACUCCUACGGGAGGCAGCAGUGGGGAGUAUUACACAAUAGGCGGAAGCCUGAUGCAGCAACGCCGCGUGCGUAAUGACGGCCUUCGGGUUGUAAACCGCUUUCGCCUGUGACGAAGCGUGAGUGACGGUAAUGGGUAAAGAAGCACCGGCUAACUACGUG